UACGUAGGGUGCAAGCGUUGUCCGGAAUUAUUGGGCGUAAAGAGCUCGUAGGCGGUUCGUCGCGUCGGCUGUGAAAACCUGAGGCUCAACCUCAGGCCUGCAGUCGAUACGGGCGGACUUGAGUACUGCAGGGGAGACUGGAAUUCCUGGUGUAGCGGUGAAAUGCGCAGAUAUCAGGAGGAACACCGGUGGCGAAGGCGGGUCUCUGGACAUUUCCUGACGCUGAGGCACGAAAGCCAGGGGAGCAAACGGG
rnacentral:rRNA from 1 species